rnacentral:lncRNA from 1 species
CAGCUAGUUAUCUGGUGCAGGACUAGAGUUCAAAUCUUCCUGGUUCUAGAUUCAAGGUACUAUCCAUUGUUCUACAUUGCCUCUAAAUUCCAAGAAUCACAGAACUAGGAAACAUGAGAGGUAGGAUUUAGAUUCAAAUCAUUCUCUCUCCCAGGUCAGAAAUGUUUCCCCAACUUCAGGUAGCCUCUCCACACAGAAAAGGAUUGUUUUAUCGUGCUAUUUACCAAUUUUAGCAAUAAUAACAGAACUAAUAAUAGCUAAUAAUUAUAUUUUGUCAUUCCAUCAUGUCUGACUCUUCACGACCCCAUGACCUUGUCUAUGGGGCUUCCCUGGCAAAGAUACUGGAGUGAUUUGCCAUUUCCUUAUCCAGAGUGUCCCCAUUUUAAAGAGGAGAUACUGAGGCAAACAAGGGGCUCCAGAGAAAACUGCUUUGGAAACAAUCACAAUCAUCAGAAAAAGAUACAAGCCCAUGGGCCUAGAUAAUUACAGAGAAGACCAGAUUUCAGGCAACCAGAGCACAAGGAAUAGAGCGGAUGGGGUCACUUGGCUUUGAAGACUUCCUGUAUAUUUUUAAGCCGCCCAUGACAUCAUUUUUGCAGGACAGCUCAGAACAAUAGGCGGGGGCGGUAAGAAAAGCACCAAAUCCACAAAUUCAGAUGAACAGUGUAAGAGGGUGCAACAGAAACACAUCAACAAUCUGGACUUUUCUGACAUGACUGAGAGAAGAACAGUCGAGAUUUGUGAGCCUGGGCCCCAAGGUUUCAGUGAUGGUCAAAGUAGACACUCCACUCAGAGCCCUCAGCCUUUUUCCCUGUUUUUCAACUGAGCUGUGACCUCCUCUUUCAGUUACUGGGAAUAACAACAACAACCACACAGAGACAAUCAUGUGACCCCAAAUUGUCCACAUGGCCAAGUUCAAUAAAUUAGCAGCCAGAAAUUUUAAUCA